rnacentral:rRNA from 1 species
UACAGAGGGGGCAAGCGUUAUUCGGAAUUAUUGGGCGUAAAGGGCGCGUAGGCGGCUUUGCAAGUGACGGGUGAAAUCCCACGGCUUAACCGUGGAACUGCCUGUCAGACUGCAUGGCUUGAGACCAGGAGAGGUGAGUGGAAUUCCCAGUGUAGCGGUGAAAUGCGUAGAUAUUGGGAGGAACACCAGUGGCGAAGGCGGCUCACUGGACUGGUACUGACGCUGAGGCGCGAAAGCGUGGGUAGCAAACAGG